rnacentral:rRNA from 1 species
CUUACGCCCGAUCUCGUCCGAUCUUGGGGAUACAGCUCGGGCCCGGUUAGUACUUGGAUGGGAGACCGCCUGGGAAUACCAGGUGCUGUAAGCCU